rnacentral:rRNA from 1 species
CAGCGCCUAACACAUGCCANGNNNGUNCGGAAACGAGAAGUAGCUUGCUACUUCGGCGUCGAGCGGCGGCCGGGAGAUNAAUGCCUAGGAAAUUGCCCUGAAUGUGGGGGAUAACCAUUGGAAACGAUGGCUAAUACCGCAUAAUGCCUUCGGGCCAAAGAGGGGGACCUUCGGGCCUCUCGCGUCAGGAUAUGCCUAGGUGGGAUUAGCUAGUUGGUGAGGUAAUGGCUCACCAAGGCGACGAUCCCUAGCUGGUCUGAGAGGAUGAUCAGCCACACUGGAACUGAGACACGGUCCAGACUCCUACGGGAGGCAGCAGUGGGGAAUAUUGCACAAUGGGCGCAAGCCUGAUGCAGCCAUGCCGCGUGUAUGAAGAAGGCCUUCGGGUUGUAAAGUACUUUCAGCAGUGAGGAAGGGGUGUACGUUAAUAGCGUGCAUCCUUGACGUUAGCUGCAGAAGAAGCACCGGCUAACUCCGUGCCAGCAGCCGCGGUAAUACGGAGGGUGCGAGCGUUAAUCGGAAUUACUGGGCGUAAAGCGCAUGCAGGUGGUUCGUUAAGUCAGAUGUGAAAGCCCGGGGCUCAACCUCGGAACUGCAUUUGAAACUGGCGGGCUAGAGUACUGUAGAGGGGGGUAGAAUUUCAGGUGUAGCGGUGAAAUGCGUAGAGAUCUGAAGGAAUACCAGUGGCGAAGGCGGCCCCCUGGACAGAUACUGACACUCAGAUGCNAAAGCGUGGGGAGCAACAGGAUUANAUACCCUGGUANUCACGCCGUAACGAUGUCUACUUGGAGGUUGUGNCUUNACCNNGGCUUCGNACUACGCGUNANUAAACCCCUGGGANUCGGUCCAAAAUAAACUCAAUNANUNACGGGGCCCNAAANNGNGNACUNUGUUAAUCNAU